rnacentral:rRNA from 1 species
GUGUCAGCAGCCGCGGUAAUACAGAGGUCCCAAGCGUUGUUCGGAUUCACUGGGCGUAAAGGGUGCGUAGGCGGUCGGGUAAGUCUGACGUGAAAUCUCGCGGCUCAACCGCGAAACGGCGUCGGAUACUAUCUGGCUUGAGGAGUGGAGGGGAGACUGGAAUUCUCGGUGUAGCAGUGAAAUGCGUAGAUAUCGAGAGGAACACCAGUGGCGAAGGCGAGUCUCUGGACAUUUCCUGACGCUGAGGCACGAAAGCCAGGGGAGCAAACGGGAUUAGAUACCCCCGUAGUCC